rnacentral:tRNA from 1 species
CACUAAGUGGCUGAAAGUAAGCACCGGUCUCUUAAACCGUUCCAUAGUAAAGUAACUCAUACUCUUAGUGA